CCUACGGGAGGCAGCAGUGAGGAAUAUUGGACAAUGGGUGAGAGCCUGAUCCAGCCAUCCCGCGUGAAGGAUGACGGUCCUAUGGAUUGUAAACUUCUUUUAUAUGGGGAUAAACCUACUUACGUGUAAGUAGCUGAAGGUACCAUAUGAAUAAGCACCGGCUAACUCCGUGCCAGCAGCCGCGGUAA
rnacentral:rRNA from 1 species